rnacentral:rRNA from 1 species
UACGUAGGGUGCAAGCGUUGUCCGGAAUUAUUGGGCGUAAAGAGCUCGUAGGCGGUUUGUCGCGUCUGCUGUGAAAACCCGAGGCUCAACCUCGGGCCUGCAGUGGGUACGGGCAGACUAGAGUGUUGCAGGGGAGACUGGAAUUCCUGGUGUAGCGGUGAAAUGCGCAGAUAUCGGGAGGAACACCUAUUGCGAAGGCAGCUCGCUGGGACGUCACUGACGCUGAGACGCGAAAGCGUGGGGAGCAAACAGG